UGAGGAAUUUUGGACAAUGGGGGAAACCCUGAUCCAGCCAUCCCGCGUGUGCGAUGAAGGCCUUCGGGUUGUAAAGCACUUUUGGCAGGAAAGAAACGUCAUGGGUUAAUACCCCAUGAAACUGACGGUACCUGCAGAAUAAGCACCGGCUAACUACGUGCCAGCAGCCGCGGUAAUACGUAGGGUGCAAGCGUUAAUCGGAAUUACUGGGCGUAAAGCGUGCGCAGGCGGUUCGGAAAGAAAGAUGUGAAAUCCCAGGGCUUAACCUUGGAACUGCAUUUUUAACUACCGGGCUAGAGUGUGUCAGAGGGAGGUAGAAUUCCGCGUGUAGUAGUGAAAUGCGUAGAUAUGCGGAGGAAUACCGAUGGCGAAGGCAGCCUCCUGGGAUAACACUGACGCUCAUGCACGAAAGCGUGGGGAGCAAACAGG
rnacentral:rRNA from 1 species